ACACGCCGAGGCUCCUCCCCGAGUCUGGAUCUUUAUAUUUUGGGAGAAUUUCUUUGAACUCAGUUAGCGAGCGCCGUGGAGGAGGCAAGUUCCCACCGCCGGCCGCGCGGACGGAGGGCGCGUGGGGCGCCGCGAGGGCUCGCCCACCUUCCCGCGCUGCAGUGCCCAGGCUGUCCCUCUGUGCCCUCCAGAGAACCGAGCGACUUGGCUGAGGGCGAUGCCAGUGAUCUGGAUGUGACCGUGACAAGCGAACGUGCGACUGGAGGAGGCAGAAGGGGAUGAAGAAAAGCAUUAUUUGGAGAGAAGAAUAAACCAGCUACUCCAGCCCUUUCUGCAAAUUGGUGCUAUUACUUCUGGGGUCCAUUUGCUUUUAUUCUUCUGAACCCCCAAUUAGGAAAUCUUGACUUGAGGGCCACGAGACGGCCCCCCUGCAGCGGGGGAGGGGCGGGGGCGCGUCUGGGCCGCAGAUCUUUUGGAUGUAGCAUCAGCGAGACAUUUACGCGCUCUCCUCUGCAAAAGCCACCAUGAAUUCAGUAGCUGGGAAUAAAGAGAGGCUUGCGGUCUCCAGCAGGGGCAAGAAAUACGGGGUGAACGAAGGCUGCUCGCCCACCAACCCCGCGGCGCCCUUCUCCCCCGAAAGCUGGUAUCGGAAAGCCUACGAAGAGUCGCGCGCGGGGAGCCGGCCCACCCCCGAGGGCGCGGGCUCGGCGCUCGGCUCGUCGGGGACCCCGUCUCCCGGCUCGGGCACCUCAUCCCCGAGCUCCUUCACUGGCUCUCCGGGGCCCGCGUCCCCGGGCAUCGGCACCAGCUCCCCGGGCUCCCUGGGCGGCUCGCCGGGCUUCGGCACGGGCUCCCCCGGCUCCGGGAGCGGCGGCGGCUCCUCCCCCGGCUCGGACCGUGGCGUCUGGUGCGAGAACUGCAACGCCCGACUGGUGGAGCUGAAGAGGCAGGCACUCAAGCUGCUUCUCCCGGGGCCCUUCCCUGGCAAGGUGAGCGCGGGGCGGGGACGGCGGGCGGGUGACCCCGGAGCGCGGGGUGCGACCGCGGACCACAGCCUGGACCACGCGCCUCGCCGCCCCGGAGGGGCCCCGGCGGCCGGGCGGGGGGCUGGUGCACACCCCGGGGACGCCAGCUCGGGUGGCCACCCACCUGGGUCUCUCUGCGAGGACCCCUGGGGAAGGGGAGUUGGUUCCCAGAGGGACGGAGCCUAAAGCUUCAGGCUCUGGGUUCCGGAGGGACGCCCCCAGGUGGCUCGUCCUCCUGUCCAGCCAGCGGGACCGCAGGCUGCUCGUUAGCCCCCAUCGGUGAUCCCUUAGAAUGUCAGUGGGGGCAGUCACAGCGAGCCGGUGUUUGGGAGGGCGUGUUUCCCAUCGCUUGGUACAGAAGCCGAG
rnacentral:lncRNA from 1 species